CCUGGCGGCGGCCUACCAUGCAUCGUCGAGCGGUAGCACAGAGAGCUUGCUCUCGGGUGACGAGCGGCGGACGGGUGAGUAAUGUCUGGGAAACUGCCUGAUGGAGGGGGAUAACUACUGGAAACGGUAGCUAAUACCGCAUAAUGUCGCAAGACCAAAGUGGGGGACCUUCGGGCCUCAUGCCAUCAGAUGUGCCCAGAUGGGAUUAGCUAGUAGGUGGGGUAACGGCUCACCUAGGCGACGAUCCCUAGCUGGUCUGAGAGGAUGACCAGCCACACUGGAACUGAGACACGGUCCAGACUCCUACGGGAGGCAGCAGUGGGGAAUAUUGCACAAUGGGCGCAAGCCUGAUGCAGCCAUGCCGCGUGUGUGAAGAAGGCCUUCGGGUUGUAAAGCACUUUCAGCGGGGAGGAAGGCGUUGAGGUUAAUAACCUUUGCGAUUGACGUUACCCGCAGAAGAAGCACCGGCUAACUCCGUGCCAGCAGCCGCGGUAAUACGGAGGGUGCAAGCGUUAAUCGGAAUUACUGGGCGUAAAGCGCACGCAGGCGGUCUGUCAAGUCGGAUGUGAAAUCCCCGGGCUCAACCUGGGAACUGCAUUCGAAACUGGCAGGCUAGAGUCUUGUAGAGGGGGGUAGAAUUCCAGGUGUAGCGGUGAAAUGCGUAGAGAUCUGGAGGAAUACCGGUGGCGAAGGCGGCCCCCUGGACAAAGACUGACGCUCAGGUGCGAAAGCGUGGGGAGCAAACAGGAUUAGAUACCCUGGUAGUCCACGCCGUAAACGAUGUCGAUUUGGAGGUUGUGCCCUUGAGGCGUGGCUUCCGGAGCUACGCGUUAAUCGACCGCCUGGGGAGUACGGCGCAGGUAAUCC
rnacentral:rRNA from 1 species